GAAGCUCCAAGAUUUCAACAUUUCUGAAGGGAGAUACCGUCUUAGAAAUACAGGUGAACUGAAGAAGCUCAUGAAAUACAUUAAUAUGCCUUUUUUAGAAUAUAUUUCACCAAUUUUAAGAAGUCCCUGACAUCAAAACAUGGCUUGUUUUGUUCCUGGACUCUUCAGUGAUGACGAUCAGAGUCUGAGUGAACCUGCUGUCAGACAGAUGGCCAUCCCAAGGUUUCUAGAGAUGACACCAGCUCCAGACUCAAUCCAAACUCACUUGUGAAGACUUCAGAUGACACCAACGCUCACAAAGACUACAGACGACGGCGACUGUACAUGAACACACAAAACCAUAAUAUUUAU